GUCGUUGUGUGCGGUUGGCUUUCUGUCAGCCUCCAGUGUCGUGAGCUGAUUUAAGGUGAUAUAACUACCACCUUCCGGCCAAGUUGUGUUUGUGGAGGUACUCAGGGGAGAGUAUAACGUGGAUGGUUUGUGAUCCCAGGAUACAUUGUUCCUGCCGUACAAUAGUUGAGUGGGUGUCUUAUCAAGAUGGAAAGAUUCUGAGAGGCAUGAAGAGCCAAUAGUGCUG